GUCCACUGCCAUACCACCCUGAAUGCACUCGAUCUCAUCUGAUCUUGGAAGCUAAGCAGGAUCGGGCCUGGUUAGUACUUGGAUGGGAAAAAUCAUGAACAAGCUAUAAAUGAUC
rnacentral:rRNA from 1 species